rnacentral:rRNA from 1 species
AUGCCGCGUGUGUGAAGAAGGCCUUCGGGUUGUAAAGCCCUUUCGACGGGGAAGAUGAUGACGGUACCCGUAGAAGAAGCCCCGGCUAACUUCGUGCCAGCAGCCGCGGUAAUACGAAGGGGGCUAGCGUUGUUCGGAAUUACUGGGCGUAAAGGGCGCGUAGGCGGACUGUCCAGUCAGGGGUGAAAUCCCGGGGCUUAACCUCGGAACUGCCUUUGAUACUGACAGUCUAGAGUCUGUGAGAGGAUGACGGAAUACCCAGUGUAGAGGUGAA